AACGUGGGGGCGGUGGGGGCCCUCCGCCUGCCCACCCUCAACAGGCCCCGCCUCCGCCUCGCCCUGGGCGGGGCCUUGCGGCCGAGCCCCGCCCACGAGCCCCCGGCCACGCCCCCCGCCGCUGACGUCAUCAGCGUGCCCGGCCCGGAGGAGGUCAACCCCCGCGAGCCGCUGCUGCCCGGUGAGGGCGGGGGUGGGGGUGGGGGGCGUCGCCCCGGGGUCACGUGAUGUCACCCCCCCCUUGUCACGUGAUGUCACCCCCCCAUCACCCCCCCUGUCACCCGGUGCCACCCAGCGUCCCCCAGUGCCACCCUCGUGUCACCCAGUGUCGCCCAAGGUCACCCUUGUGUCACCCAAUGUCAGCCUCGUGUCACCCAAUGUCACCCAACGUCACCCAACGUCGCCCAACGUCACCCUUGUGUCACCCGGUGUCACCCCUGUGCCACCCAACGUCACCCCCUUGUCACCUGGUGUCACCCAGCGUCACCCAGUGUCACCCCCGUGUCACCCAACGUCACCCCCGUGUCACCCAGUGUCACCUGACCUCAUCGUUCUGCCACCCAACGUCACCCAAUGUCACCCUUGUGUCACCCAGCGUCACCCAGUGUCACCCAGUAUCACCCCAGUGUCACCCAACGUCACCCAAUGACACCCCAGUGUCACCCCAGUGCCACCCAGCAUCCCCCAGUGCCACCCUCGUGUCACCCAAUGUCACCCAACGUCACCCUUGUGUCACCCAACGUCACCCUUGUGUCACCCAAUGUCACCCUUGUGUCACCCAGUGUCACCCCUGUGCCACCCAACGUCACCCUUUUGUCACCUGGUGUCACCCAAUGUCACCCAACGUCACUGAACAUCACCCUAGUGUCACCCAGUGUCACUCCCGUGUCACCCAACGUCACCCAACGUCACCCAGUGUCACCCUUGUGUCACCUUUGUGUCACCCAACGUCGCCCAGCAUCACUCCUGUGUCACCCAACGUCACCCGACCUCAUCCUUGUGUCACCCAACAUCACCCUUUUGUCACCCGAUGCCCCCCAGCGUCACCCAACGUCACCCAACGUCACCCAGUAUCACCCCAGUGUCACCCAACGUCACCCAAUGACACCCCUGUGUCACCCAGUGUCACCCAGUGUCACCCAGUAUCACCCCUGUGUCACCCAACAUCACCCAACGUCACCCUUUUGUCACCCGGUGUCACCCAACGUCACCCCUUUGUCACCCAGUGUCACCCUCAUGUCACCCAACGUCACCCCCGUGUCACCUGGUGUCACCCAACACCACCCGUCACCCUCAUGUCAUCCCACAUUGCCCAGCGUCACCCAGCGUCACCCCCGUGCCACUCAGCGUCACCCCGUGUCACCCUUGUGUCACCUUUGUGUCACCCAACGUCACCCAGCGUCACCCCUGUGUCACCCAAUAUCACCCUCGUGCCACCCAGCGUCACCCAACCUCAUCCUUGUGUCACCCAAUGUCACCCUUUUGUCACCCGAUGCCCCCCAGUGUCACCCAACGUCACCCAACGUCACCCAGUGUCACCCCACAUCAUCCAGUGGCACCCAGUG
ensembl:lncRNA